rnacentral:lncRNA from 1 species
AUGAUCGAGGCGCUGAACCGGGUCAUUUAUUCAGGAGACACAAAGAAGAAGUUCAUGAUCAUACUCACCGUCUGCAGAGCAGCUUCAGGCCUCCUGCUGCAGAGACACAGAGGACAGAGCAGACGUCUGCCUGCUGCACCCGCCAUCUACCAACCACAGAGCUGCCGUGACACGCACACUGCGACCGAGCUUCAGCUGUGCAAGCUUCUGUCAGAACCAGAAUCAUUACUGAUCAUUACAGUUACUUUGAUGGGAAGUUGGAACGUGUCAUACAUGGAGUCACGAGUGUUGAAACUGAACAGGAUGGAUGUUUAUCUCUGUUGGAAGACGAUCCUGGCAUCAGACGAAGGAUCUCUCACCUUGCUGCCGCUCGUCACACUGUGUGUCACGGUUCUGGGUCCGUUGGACCCAGUAUUUUGAGUUUAUUAUAUUUUGGUUUACUUUUGCAUUAUGGAUUGUUUCUUAUGUUUCUCUGGCACUUUGUGUUUCAGUUAUCUUGGUGUUUUGGAUUUUCUCAUUUUUGUGGUGAUGGUGGUGGUGAUGAUGAUUAUUGUUAUUGAGUUCCAUGUUUCUGUUUAUUGGUAUUUAGGAUUUGUGUUCUCAUGUUUUGUGUGGGUUUAGUUCCAGGUGUCAUUUUCUGUCUGUCUCUCAGUGUCAGGUCUGCGUCUUGGUGUUGUGUUCUCAUUUCCUGUUUUAUUGUGAAGGUCCGCGUCUCAUGUGAGUGUGUUCAGUUUUACCCCUGUCUCGUCUUGUUGAUUAUUCCCAGCUGUGUUCCCCACCUGUGUGUAAUCUCCUUGUGUUUCUCUGUGUGUAUUUAAGUCGCGUCUUCUGUGUUUGUAGUUGCUGGUCCGUCUGUGUAUCCACCCUGCGUCAUCUGUGUGUCUCCCUGCUGUCUACCGUCAUCCACCUCUGCUCGCCGUCUUUCAUGUUCAUGCUCAGGUUCCUCCUCCGUAGUAUAGUUGUUUCCAGUAUAGUUUAGUUUGUCUCCGUUUGCCAUGUUUUCCCUGUGUCGUGUUUUUCAAUAAACCACCUUCUCACCUUUACAAAGUGCCUGCAUUUGGAUCCUACUUCGUUAUCUCUACACGGCUCAUCUCACUCGCCGUGACAGUACGGACCAGCCAGCCAUGGAUCCAGCGGCAUUCACCUCACCCACGGAGCUUCGAGGGCUCAUAACGGACUCAGCUACAAAAUUAAUCGAUCUGUGGCUAAAGCAUGAGGGAGAAGCAUUUCUCUAUGCUGUGGAGGACAAGCUACAACAGCUUAUUUCCGGUUACCCCUGGUUAUUGGACUCACUGCACCCGCUCGUACAGGAUUUCUUCUUCACGAGCUUCACCUUCACCCUCCCGCCGCUA